GUUUUGUCGUUUCAAUGUAUAGGUUUUGCAACAGAAGUGAAGAAAAAUGGAACAUAGAAAGAAGAAAAAUAUAUGCAUUAUUGUGAUGCUAAUGAUGUUAAAGUCACAAUAUGAGAAAAAGGUUCUUCCUAAAAAAAAAAAAUGUGGGUUAGAUCCUGGAUAGCUAAAAGAGCACAACAAGGUUGUUUUCAUAACCUCUUUCUAGAAUUAUAACUAGAAGAUCCAGACAAGUACUGCAGAUGUCUUCAUAUGUCUUCAGAUUUGUUUGAGGAUCUUGUAAAGAAAUUGAAGCCAUUAAUUAAAAGACAGGAUACUCAUCUUCGACAAAGUAUCUCCCCUGCAGAAAGACUUGCUGUAACAUUACGUCAUUUGGCAACAGGCGGAAGUAAAAAAUCACUAUCUUAUACUUUCCGUCUUGGACAAAGCACUAUAUCUGGGAUCAUAAAGGAUACUUGUCAUGCUCUCAUUCCUGUUUUGCAAGAAACACAUCUUAAAUUUCCUGACAGUGAAUUGGCUUGGAAAGUAAUUGUUUAUAUGGAAAGAUGGAAUUUUCCGAAUUGCUUGGGUGCCAUGGAUGGGAAACAUGUUUGGAUAGAUCCUCCACUUCAGUCUAGUUCCUCAUACUUUAAUAAAGAAUUCCUCAUAUUUUUACAAAGAAACGUUCAGCAUCGUGCUUUUGGGGGUUGUGGACGCUCAACUUCGAUUUAUAUUUGUCGAUGAGAUGAAGGUUUUUCUUUAUCUACAAAUGUGCUCAUACCUUAUCCCAAGGAACAAUGUACAGGAAAAAAAGAGAGAAGAAUUUAUAAUUACAGAUUAUCUAGAGCGAGACGAUGUGUGGAAAAUGCAUUUGGAGUCAUGGUCAGCAGAUUUAAUAUAUUCAGAUCUCCAAUGAGAUACGACCCAGAUGAUACUCGUUGCAUUGUAUUGGCGAUUUGUUGUCUUCAUAACAUGUUGAGAUCUCACAGUAUAGGCCGUAUGAUGUAUACUUCACCAGGAUAUAUUGAUAUGGAAGAUGAAAUGACAGGUCAAUUGCAAUAUAGAGAAUGGCGAGAUGAACAAGGACAAGGUUUAUUAAGAUUACAACAUCAAGGAGGCAACUCCAUACUUCUGCUGCCAUAGAAAUGCGAGAAAAUUUAUGUGAAUAUUUUAAUAACAUUGGAAGAAUACCAUGGUAAGAUCAGGCAAUUCAGUGACAGUAAAAUAAAAUAUAUUUUUGUAGAAUUUUUAUCCACUUUGUAUUUUACCAGCUUUGUAUUUUAUGAGCAUAACAUAUUUAGAUAACAAUUAUAAAUAAACAAUAUUAAUAUU